AGUGAACGCUGGCGGUAGGCCUAACACAUGCAAGUCGAACGGCAGCACAGUAAGAGCUUGCUCUUACGGGUGGCGAGUGGCGGACGGGUGAGGAAUACAUCGGAAUCUACUUUUUCGUGGGGGAUAACGUAGGGAAACUUACGCUAAUACCGCAUACGACCUACGGGUGAAAGCAGGGGAUCUUCGGACCUUGCGCGAUUGAAUGAGCCGAUGUCGGAUUAGCUAGUUGGCGGGGUAAAGGCCCACCAAGGCGACGAUCCGUAGCUGGUCUGAGAGGAUGAUCAACCACACUGGAACAGGGACACGGUCCAAACGACAACCGGAAGAGGCAGUCGGGAAUGUUGGACGAUGGGCGGAAGCCUGAUCCAGCCAUACCCCGUGGGUGAAGAAAGCCUUCGGGUUGUAAAGCCCUUUUGUUGGGAAAGAAAAGCAGCAGGUUAAUACCCCGCUGUUCUGACGGUACCCAAAGAAUAAGCACCGGCUAACUUCGUG
rnacentral:rRNA from 1 species